rnacentral:rRNA from 1 species
GACGAGCGCUGGCGGCGUGCCUAAUACAUGCAAGUCGAGCGGACGGAUGGGAGCUUGCUCCCAGACCGUCAGCGGCGGACGGGUGAGUAACACGUGGGCAACCUGCCUGUAAGACUGGGAUAACUCCGGGAAACCGGGGCUAAUACCGGAUAACUCUUUCCCUCACCUGAGGGAAAGCUGAAAGAUGGCAUCUCGCUAUCACUUACAGAUGGGCCCGCGGCGCAUUAGCUAGUUGGUGAGGUAACGGCUCACCAAGGCGACGAUGCGUAGCCGACCUGAGAGGGGGAUCGGCCACACUGGGACUGAGACACGGCCCAGACUCCUACGGGAGGCAGCAGUAGGGAAUCUUCCGCAAUGGACGAAAGUCUGACGGAGCAACGCCGCGUGAGUGAUGAAGGUUUUCGGAUCGUAAAACUCUGUUGUCAGGGAAGAACAAGUACCGGAGUAACUGCCGGUACCUUGACGGUACCUGACCAGAAAGCCACGGCUAACUACGUG